GCUGGGCGUGGUGGUGCAUGCCUGUAAUCCCAGCUACUCAGGAGGCUGAGGCAGGAGAAUCGCUUGAACCCGGGAGGCGGAGGUUGUGGUGAGCCAAGAUUACACCACUGAACUCCAGCCUGGGCAACAGAGUGAGACUCUGUCUCAA
rnacentral:SRP_RNA from 2 species